CCAGCAGCCGCGGUAAUACCCGCAGCCCGAGUGGUGGUCGAUUUAUGAGUCUAAAACGUUCGUAGCCGGUCUGAUAAAUCCCUGGGUAAAUCGGGUGGCUUAACCAUCCGAAUUCCGGGGAGACUGUCAGGCUUGGGAUCGGGAGAGGUAUGAGGUACUUCAGGGGUAGGGGUAAAAUCCUGUAAUCCUUGGAGGACCACCGGUGGCGAAGGCGUCAUACUAGAACGAAUCCGACGGUGAGGGACGAAGCCCUAGGUCGCAAACGGGAUUAGAUACCCCGGUAGUCUAGGGUGUAAACGCUGCAGACUAGGUGUUGGAGGCCCUACGGGGGCACCCAGUGCCCGAGAGAAGUUGUUAAGUCUGCUACUUGGGGAGUACGUCCGCAAGGAUGAAACUUAAAGGAAUUGGCGGGGGAGCACCGCAAACCGGGAGGAGCGUGCGGUUUAAUUGGAUUCAACACCGGAAAACUCACCAAGGGAGACCAUCACAUGAAAGCCAGGCUAAUGACUUUGCUUGAUUCUUGGAGAAGUGGUGCAUGG
rnacentral:rRNA from 1 species